GACGAACGCUGGCGGCGUGCUUAACACAUGCAAGUCGAACGGAAAGGCCCUGCUUUUGUGGGGUGCUCGAGUGGCGAACGGGUGAGUAACACGUGAGUAACCUGCCCUUGACUUUGGGAUAACUUCAGGAAGCUGGGGCUAAUACCGGAUAGGAGCUCCUGCUGCAUGGUGGGGGUUGGAAAGUUUCGGCGGUUGGGGAUGGACUCGCGGCUUAUCAGCUUGUUGGUGGGGUAGUGGCUUACCAAGGCUUUGACGGGUAGCCGGCCUGAGAGGGUGACCGGCCACAUUGGGACUGAGAUACGGCCCAGACUCCUACGGGAGGCAGCAGUGGGGAAUAUUGCACAAUGGGCGGAAGCCUGAUGCAGCAACGCCGCGUGCGGGAUGACGGCCUUCGGGUUGUAAACCGCUUUCGCCUGUGACGAAGCGUGAGUGACGGUAAUGGGGAAAGAAGCACCGGCGAACUACGU
rnacentral:rRNA from 1 species